AUAUAUAUGUGUGUGUGUAUAACAUGUCUAUAUAUUCUGAGUGUUCCAAACGUAUCCUAAUGUAAUCCUUGUAUUGUCCUUUGUACACCCUGAUGCUUUUCCAUACAAGGUAUUUAAAAUGCAAAAUUAUAUAUCUAUAUAUGUUUUGUAAUCUUAAUUUUGUUUGUGAAAUAAAACAAUUGCAGGUGAAUAUGUUAAUUAAUUAAUAAAUUAAUUUCUAUCCAUUAGAUCUCCCUGUUUUCUAACUCAAUAAUGAUAUUUGAUAUUUUAUGAUAUUUUAUACAAUAUAUUCAUUGAAGAAAUACCUAUUUAAAAUGUAUUAAA
rnacentral:lncRNA from 1 species